rnacentral:rRNA from 1 species
AUUGAACGCUGGCGGCAUGCUUUACACAUGCAAGUCGAACGGUAACAGGCCUUCGGGCGCUGACGAGUGGCGAACGGGUGAGUAAUACAUCGGAACGUGCCCAGUCGUGGGGGAUAACUAUCCGAAAGGAUAGCUAAUACCGCAUACGAUCUGCGGAUGAAAGCGGGGGACCUUCGGGCCUCGCGCGAUUGGAGCGGCCGAUGUCAGAUUAGGUAGUUGGUGGGGUAAAGGCUCACCAAGCCAACGAGCUGUAGCUGGUCUGAGAGGACGACCAGCCACACUGGGACUGAGACACGGCCCAGACUCCUACGGGAGGCAGCAGUGGGGAAUUUUGGACAAUGGGCGCAAGCCUGAUCCAGCAAUGCCGCUUGCAGGAAGAAGGCCUUCGGGUUGUAAACUGCUUUUGUACGGAACGAAACGGCUCUGGUUAAUACCCGGGGCUAAUGACGGUACCGUAAGAAUAAGCACCGGCUAACUACGUGCCAGCAGCCGCCGUAA